rnacentral:rRNA from 1 species
AGCGAACGCUGGCGGCAGGCCUAACACAUGCAAGUCGAACGGACCCUUCGGGGUUAGUGGCGGCCGGGUGCGUAACACGUGGGAACGUGCCUUUAGGCUCGGAAUAGCUUCUGGAAACGGGUGGUAAUGCCGAAUGUGCCCUUCGGGGGAAAGAUUUAUCGCCUUUAGAGCGGCCCGCGUCUGAUUGGCUAGUGGGGGAGGUACCGGCAAGCCACGGCGACGAUCAGUAGCUGGUCUGCGAGGAUGACCAGUCACACUGGGACUGGGACACGGCCCCGACUCCUACGGGAGGCAGCAGUGGGGAAUCUUGCGGAAGGGGCGAAAGGCUGACGCAGCCCGGGCGCGUGAAUGAUGAAGGUCUUAGGAUUGUAAAACUCUUUCGGCGGGGACGAUAAUGACGGUACCCGGAGAAGAAGCCCCGGCUAACUUCGUG